CCUACGGGUGGCAGCAGUGAGGAAUAUUGGUCAAUGGACGCAAGUCUGAACCAGCCAUGCCGCGUGCAGGAAGACGGCUCUAUGAGUUGUAAACUGCUUUUGUACGAGGGUAAAUCCCGAUACGUGUAUCGUGUUGAAAGUAUCGUACGAAUAAGGCUCGGCUAACUCCGUGCCCGCAGCCGCGGUAAUACGGAGGAUUCCAGCGUUAUCCGGAUUUAUUGGGUUUAAAGGGUGCGUAGGCGGUUCGAUAAGUUAGGGGUGAAAUCCCGGGGCUCAACUCCGGCACUGCCUCUGAUACUGUGGGGCUAGAGUUUAGUUGCGGUAGGCGGAAUGUAUGGUGUAGCGGUGAAAUGCAUAGAGAUCGCGCAGAACUCCGAUUGCGAAGGCAGCAUGCCGGCUCCAAACUGACGCUGAGGCUCGAAAGCGUGGGGAGCAAACAGGAUUAGAUACCCCAGUAGUC
rnacentral:rRNA from 1 species